ACAUCCUACACAGCCUAAGGAUUGGCUGAAGAUGUACCCGUGAGAGCCUUCUCCUCUAAGUGUGGUCAUGUGCCCCAAAAGGAACUGAGGGACUUUCAAAAAGAUGCUCUCUCUACAUUGCAUCUCUGUCACCAGACUCCUGUCUCUCUCUCUAGACCAGCUGCUUGGAAGGAGCAAGCUGCCCACAGUAUGUUCAGUCACAGGGAGAGACACUUCUCUGCAUUGGAGCCAACGUUUAUGGAGAAAGAAGAGCUCAGCCUGGGUCAUGUUCCCACUGGAUCACUGCACUAGCAUGGUCUUGCUCCACCAGACUGGAAUGCAUUAUCAUAGUUCACUGCAGCCUCGACUCCUGUGCUCAAGUGAUCUUCCCACCUUAGCCUCCCAAGCAUCUAGGACUACAGGCAUGCAUGCCACCACACCUAGCUAAUUAAAAAAAAAUUUUUUUUUUGUAGAGAUGGAGGUCUCACUAUGUUACCUAGGCUGGUCUUGAACUCCUGGCUUCAAGCACUCCUCCCGCCUUGGCCUCCCAAAGUGUUGAGAACAUAGGUGUGAGCCAUUACACCUGGCCUGCUUAAAAUUCUUAUCAAAUAAUUCAAACAUCUGUGUCAUCUUGAUAUUGGUAUGUGUUUGUUAGAGUAGGUGGUUAGGCAGACAUGAGCAGGGCAAGAGAUGCACCCCCCUCCUCCAAAACCCGAAGAAAUGUCAGAUGACCAUCAGGUGGUGGUCAGGUGGCUGUCAGCACCAGGGAAAGGCAGUUUCCCAAUAGACAGAAAAUACCUGGAGCUGGUGAUAAGCAACUUCUGGAUACAAUCUCAGGAGUUGGGUGACGGGGCUCAUGCAUGUGCACUAAGAGGCAAAAUGGCAUACUUUAACUGGUAUAUGACCUUCCUCUGGCAAGGCUUGACUGGUAAGGGAAAAAAACCUCAAGUGAACAUGUGCACAAAUUCAGUAAACACACUGCACAUGAGGCACCUCCGAAGUGCUGGCAGGCCACUGUACAUGUGGACAGCCCACUCCAUGGGAAGAAUCAAGGGAGAAGAAAUGCAAAUCCUGGAACCAUGCCAAUGUAUAAAAGCUCAAGUCAAGGGUCUGGUGUGCACUUGAUUUCUCAAGUAUCCUGCUUGGCCCUCUUCCAAGUAUACUUUGCUUCCUUUCAUUCUUGCUCUAAAACUUUAAUAAACUCUCACUCCUGCCAUAAAA